rnacentral:rRNA from 1 species
GAUGAACGCUGGCGGCGUGCCUAAUACAUGCAAGUCGAGCGAACGGACGAGAAGCUUGCUUCUCUGAUGUUAGCGGCGGACGGGUGAGUAACACGUGGAUAACCUACCUAUAAGACUGGGAUAACUUCGGGAAACCGGAGCUAAUACCGGAUAAUAUUUUGAACCGCAUGGUUCAAAAUGGAAAGAGGGUCUUGCGGUCACUUAUAGAUGGAUCCGCGCUGCAUUAGCUAGUUGGUAAGGUAACGGCUUACCAAGGCAACGAUGCAUAGCCGACCUGAGAGGGUGAUCGGCCACACUGGAACUGAGACACGGUCCAGACUCCUACGGGAGGCAGCAGUAGGGAAUCUUCCGCAAUGGGCGAAAGCCUGACGGAGCAACGCCGCGUGAGUGAUGAAGGUCUUCGGAUCGUAAAACUCUGUUAUUAGGGAAGAACAUAUGUGUAAGUAACUGUGCACAUCUUGACGGUACCUAAGCAGAAAGCCACGGCUAACUACGU